UACACAUAAGGUGCUUUGCACAGCCUUGACUUUUUUGUUGUUUUUUAUUUUGCUUUUUUGGUUGCCUUUUUUUUUUAGACUUGCUGGCUAGUAAAUCUGCUGCUGUGAAAAGUGAUACUUGUAUGUUAAUAUCAGUUUUCACAGCCUCCCAGCUAGCUACUAAGGCUAUGUCUACACUAUAGACCUUAAUGGCACAGUUGUACCGCUGCAGCUGUGCCACUGUAAGGUCUCCUGUGUAGCUGCUCUAUGCUGGUGGGAGAAGCUCUCCCGCUGGCAUAAUUAAACCACUCCCAAUGAGCAACGGUAGCUAUGUUCGCAGGAGACACUCUCCUGCCAACAUACCGCUGUCCACACCAGUGCUUCUGUCUGUGAAACUUUUGUCAGUCGAGGAUGUUUUGUUCACACACUGACCAACAAAAGUGCUAGUGUAGAUAUAGCCUUAGUCUGCUGUGAAAAGUGAUAUGAACAAACAUACAUUUAUCACUUUUCACAGCAGACUUACUCAACCCUGGCAUGCCAGGAUACAAAUUAAGCCCUGAAUGGUGAGGUAGAUAGGGAGGCAGCGGGGCCAGGGAUGAUAGGGGGAAUGAAUGGGGGCCGGGGGAGGCAGCAGGGGCUGGGGCAAUGGGGGGCGAUGAGCCCAGGGCCAGAGCCAAGUGUCAUAUGGCCAGGGGCCAGAGCUCACGACUGUGCAGCUGGAGGGCAGAGCCCGAAGCCUUGAGCCCGGAGACAGAUCCCAGAGCCUGGAGAUGGAGUCUGAAGCUCUGCAGCUGGAGCCUACCACCCGUCACCCCAGGACUGAAGCCGGACUCCACUACCCCCAGAAAGGUGGGGAACUCACUGGCUGCUUGAUCCUCCAGUGUUUGUGUCUCCAGAGGGGACAAGGCUCAAACCCGGCUAGCAGCCCCAAGGGAGGGACUGCUGCUCCAUCUCCCACCCCUGCAACCAUCACUCCGGAGGCUGUGACCACAAGAAAAGCCCCUGGUAGCCGCAUCUGAGAAACACUGGUCUAGUGAAUUCCUAUUAGGAAGUAACAGUAAAAUGGCAGAUGUCAUAGAGACCUAUAGGAACUAUUCAUAGUUGGAGAAAUUAGAAGCACUGCUGUUUUUCAAAACACUGCUUUUGAAAACAAACUGGUUUUAUUAUUUUCUAGUAGAUAUCCCCCUUGUAGCCAUUUAAUAUAUUAGAACUAAUCAUUUUAGUUAGUUUUCUCUUAGAAUGCAUGCUUAAAUUCCUACAGUAUAUUUCAACUAAGUAAUUAUCAAGUACCUGUCUGGUGAUCGUCUUGACCAACGUCUUCUGUCAGAUUCUGUCCAAGGCAGUGCACAUGAACAGGAGGAGCACCACAGGAUCCCUCACCUGCGACCAGGAGGUGCCCUUGACAAGGCAAUCGUCCAGAUAGGGGAAUAUCUGGACCUCCCGCCACCUGAGAGCUUUCCCAUCAAACAGGAGAUCCUGCAUGGAAGACUGAGCCUCGCUGGACAGCCCAGAGAGAAGAAGCCAUGACGUCCAUCUCAUGGACACCGUGGAGGCCAUUGAUAGUGUGGCCAUGGCCGCAGCAUCCGAAGCUGCCUGCAGGGACGCCCUAGCAGCCGCUGUCCUUUCCUCUACUAAUGCCUUAAACUCCUUCCUAUCAUGUUUCUGGAGGGAGUCCUCAAACUUAGGCAGGGAGCCCCACUAAUGGCAUUCGUACCGGCCCAGGAGAGCCUGAUGGUUCGCCACUUAUAACUGGAAGCUCAAAGAUGAAUAAAUUUUCCUACCGAACGAGUCCAGUCUCUGAGAGUCUUUGUUCUUUGGAGUAAUGGCUGGCUGACCCUGCCGAUGCCUAUGGUUGACCGGCUCGACCAUCAAGGAGUUGGGCACCAGGUGAGUAUACAAGUACUCAUACCCUUAGGGGGUACAAAGUACUUAUGUUCCACCUUUUUUGAGAUGGGGGCCAACAAGGCCGGUGUUUGCCACAGGGCAUUAGAAAUCUUAGCCACCCCUUCGUGGAGAGGCAAGGCCAACCUUCCCGCUGCCAACGGGGACAAUAGGUUAAACAGGAAGGGCUCCUCCAUCUCCUCUGCCUGGAGGUGUAGGCUUACUGCCACUCUCUUUAAGGGUUCUUGGGGGGGCCCUGGAGUCCUCCUGCAGGACACAGGGCCACAAUCGCCUCCUCCGGGAAGGGCAAAGAGGCCGGUGCAGUGCUCUGGGUGUCAGCUGGCACCAGAAGGUCCACCACCUGGUUGGACUCCAGGCAUGGUGCUGAGGACGUACGUCCCACCAACUCCUUUCUCGGGGGUCUGGAGAGGGAGGUCGACGGUGCUUCCGAAGCUCCAGCCUCCAAGCAAGGUCCCACCAGGGGUGCGCCGGAGGCCACAGUGCCCACUGGUACCAUUUGGCCGGCCACGAUGUUCAGUGCCACUGCAACUGCUGUGGCACUGGCGGGACCAGCUGUCCAGGUUGGCUGGCCCGGACCAUCAAAGGACAGCCACAGAUGGAAACCAGGCUGGCGUACGAUCCACUGCUGUCCCUGGACCAGGAGGAGCAGUGGUGUCAUGAUCUACGACAGCCACGGGACCAUGAUCUCGACAUAGAGGACUGGUACCAAUGGUAAUAGCUGCUCCACAAACGGCCUCGACAGGUGGACCCACGACGGCGAGAUGCCAGCGAUCGAUGCCCGGGGCUGCAAUGUCUUGACGGAGACUUGGAGCGGGAGUCCAAACGGGAACGGCAUCAAUGAAUGUGCCGUGACUGACUGCAGUAUCCUUUCCAAGACGAAGACUGACGGCGAUGCCCACCGCAGUCUCAUCAAUGUUUGCUCCUUGAGGAUGAGCAGUACUGUGAAUCCUGGCCAGACAAAACCCAGCCCGACAGUCUGGUCGGCGUCGAGGGUGAUCCACCUGGACUCUGCCCCAAGCAGAUGCUGGGCGGUGCUCAGCAUCGGUAACGUUCCUUCGACCAAGACCAAUACCGGGUCGGAGGCAACUGCGGAGAUCUCAACAGUAGCUUGCCGCUGGAGCACGGGGCCAACAUCGGCAGCACUCCAGGCACCAGCAUGCAUAUGACAGCCCAGGCUGCCUGAGGGCUUCAGGGGUGGAAGGCAUCCGGACAUCCGGAGAGGCUUGUUCCAAAGAGGCCGGGCUACUCCGCUUAGCUUGAGUCGGAGGCCUGGGGCCCGGUGGGGAUUGAGGACUGCCCAACAUGAAUCUAGCCUCUGGCCCAGCUUUCCCUCAGUGCCGCUGCAAAGAGGGAGUCUUCUUGGGCCUCUUGGUGUGCCCCAUGGACGGGGAGCAGUGCCGACUGGUCAAUGGUACUGGAAGGUUGUCAUGUACCAACACCACGGUGCCAGGUACUGGUUUGGAGUGGCAUGCCAGGGUCGGGGUCAGCCCCAACUACAUUAGGAUGACCCAGAGCCUAACGUCCCUUUCUCUUUUGGUCUAAGGCUUAAACAACUUGCAAAUCUUGCACCUUUCGCUGAUAUGAGUUUCUCCCAAGCAGCGCAAAAAGUCUGUGUGCAGGUCACUUCUUAGCACAGAACGCCUGCAAGAGCCACAUGACUUAAACCCCGGGGCACAGGGCAUGCCCCGGGCUCGGGCUCACUGAUUAACUAAACAGCUAACUAACUACAGGUACUAACACUGAACGAAGGAACAGUUCUGGGGACAAGCUACAACGAAGCUGGAGCAGAGCAGUUCUAAUGCACCUUCACUGGCAGCAAGAAGGAACGGGGGGGGGGGAGCGCAGCUCCCCUUAUACCGUGCCAGGCAGGUGCCACGCCAAGGGUCGCGGAGGGUGGUCCCCCCCACGGGUACUGCUAGGGGAAAAACUUUCGGCACUGGUGCAUGUGGCGAGCAUAUGUCUAUUGUGGAAUACACAUGAGCAAUCACUCAAAGAAGUAACCAUACCUGGGAAAUGGGCUGACCAAUAUGCAGAUAGGUUUUCUAUCAAAUCCAGGUUGACUAAUAGGAAGAGAACAGGAUCAGAGGACAGGAAUCGAGCCGAAGCAAAGACCUGCACCCACGGGGGACAGAAAUCAAGUUCUCAAAAGCCCUGGAUCAGCAAGAAUAAUGGUGUGCCAUAUGUGGCCAGCAGGAUCACUUCGACCAAGAAUGCUCACAACACCCACUGAGUGACAUUGCAGCGCUGGGAACGCCAGCUGCACCUCAACCUCAUAGAGUUAGCUGUGUGACUGAACCUCCAGAGGGAGAAAGUCACACAGCCAGUUUGCAAAUGGCAAAAUUCACAAUCCAUAUCAUUGCAAACAUGUCUUGCUGCCCCUUCAUAGGUGCAAAUCCAUCCAAUCAACAGUGGCAGCAGAAGGUAGUGGUUAAUGGAGAUAAAUUCACUGUAUAGAGAGAUAUGGGGCCAGCCAGGAUUAUAGUUUAGUCCGAUAUAGUGAAGCCCCAUCAAAUGCUGCCACAGUGUGAAAUGUGGGUUAAGGUUCCUGGUGUGAAUGCCUUCAUUCUACUUACAGCACAAAUUUCUACACAGACCCAGAAAGUGUAAGGUGUAUUUUCAGUUAUUCCAUAUUCGUUGCUUUUAGAAAAUGUUAUAGCGUUGAAAACAGAAAGAGUAAACGACUCUCUUAGUUAGCCUAAGACAGAGAAGACAGUAUGUAAGCAAAAAUGUAAAUAGAAUAGCUAACAAGGGAAGAGGGAGUCACAUUCCCCAUUAGAGUCCAAAACAGGGGUAGGUAAACUAUGGCACAGGUGCCGAAGGCGGCACGCGAGCCAAUUUUCUGUGGCACUCACGCUGCCCAGGUCCUGGCCACCGGUCCAGGGGGCUCUUCAAUUUAAUUUAAUUUUAAAUGAAGCUUUUUAAACAUUCUAAAAACCUUAUUUACUUUACAUACAACAAUAGUUUAGUUAUAUAUUACAGACUUAUAGAAAGAGACCUACUAAAAAUGUUAAAAUGUAUUACUGGCACACGAAACCUUAAAUUAGAGUGAACAAAUGAAGAUUCGGCACAUCACUUUUGAAAGGUUGCCGACCUCUGGUCCAAAAAGAAUCAGGUUGCAAUCCCAGUUUGCAAUCUACAAACACCUGAGGAGGAAGGGGAUGAGACUGCCUGCUGCUUCAAAGAAAGGAGAAGACUACUGACUUGAAAGAAAAUUCACUGGGCCCAAAAUAAAGAAAUUAAGCUCUCUGCCAGCUCUUCAAAAGGACCUGUAACGGGACAGAGCAAAAUAAAAGCAGCACAUGUUUGAGAGCCACUGCACAAGGAGGUAGCCCUGACAUAUUUGUCCCUUUGAGCCAAAGAAUGUCUGCUUGUAAUAUUCCCACGGUGGUUGGGGAACCUCAAUCCAGAGCUAAGGCAGCUGACCACUUGGGGAACCAAGAGACACCAUAUAUACUCCCAGGAAAGGGCACGGGAGAUGUGAGAAAAAUUAGGUCUCAAGUUUACACCCAAAAGUUGGGGAGCAACAAAAGCAAGAAGGGGCAUGUAAAAGAUCAGCCUCAUAGGUUCUAUAUUUUGAAGAAUGGUUAUGAAAAAACACUGUACAAAUAUUUAAAGAAAAUACGCUGGCUUGAUAGCAAAAUGUUUGUUACCUAAACAAAUUAAUUGUGAAAUUAUAAAAGGUACUAACAAAACCACCAUCCAGGAAAUAAACCUGUCCAAGCAUUCAGUCCAGGGGCGCCAGAACAGGGUGUGGGAGGCCAAGGGGCCAUGGCCCUCCCACUUUUGAAAAUAGACGGACCUGGCCUAUCCACUUUUUGCCAUGGGCUUGGCCCUCUACACCUCCUCUUCCCCUCAAGCCAGGUCAGAAGCUGCAGCCCAGCCUAGAUAAGAGCUGCUCGAGCAGCUGUGGAGAGCCAGGGACUCUCCACCUGCCUCGGAUGCGGGGGCCGAGAGCAGCCCUCAGUCUGUGCCCCUCCCCCCAGACUCCCACCUAGGGCAGAUGGAGGGUCCGCAGCUCCCCAUAGCUGCCAGAGCAGUUCUUACCAUGGCUUGGCUGCAGCUCUUCGGCUCCUGAGGCCCCGACCCUGGUCAGGCCAGAAGCUGGAGCCUGGCCCGGGUAAGAGGAGCCCAGGGAGCCCAGGCAGCUGUGGGAUGCCACAGACCUUCCACCUGCCCUGGAUGAGGAGUCUGGUGGGCAAAGACACAGGCCAGGGGCUGCUCUCAGGCUCCUCCCCACCCUGGGCAAGUGGAGGCUCUCAAGCCAGGCUCCAGCUUCCAGCUUGGCCAGGGGACAGGGCUUCAGAGGAAAUAGGGAGACAAGGGUGGGGCCACAGGGGAGGUGGGGCCUCAUGGCCCCCCCACUUUCAAGAAGAAUGCAUUGCCCCUGAUUCAGUCAGUGGGAUCCCCUAGGGUGUUAGCCAGCAUCCUAGUUAAACCUACUUCUGUAGGAGGGAGAUAGAAUGCUCUAAUUUCCUGCAAUACUCUAAAUAAACUUAUUAAAUUAAACUUUAAUUAAUUCAUUUUAA